GUUCAACGGCCGCGGUACCCUGACCGUGCGAAGGUAGCAUAAUCACUUGCUCUUUAAAUGGGGGCUAGUAUCAACGGCAUCACGAGGGUUUACUGUCUCCUUUAUCUAAUCAAUGAACCUGAUCUCUUCGUGAAGAAGCGAGGAUAAAAAUAUAAGACGAGAAGACCCCAUGGAGCUUUAAACUCGAUGUGCACCUAAUAAUCACCUCAGCCCUUUAGAAUUGUACAUCAGUUUUGGGUUGGCCACAAAAAUAUAACCUCCACGACAAAUGGAUUAAAAUCCUAAUAAGAAUUACCUUUCUAAGAAUCAACAGAUUGAUGUAAAUUGAUCCGAAAACUCGAUCAACGGACCAAGUUACCCUGGGGAUAACAGCGCAAUCUAUUCGAGAGCCCAUAUCGACAAGUAGGUUUACGACCUCUGUUGGAUCAGGGUAUCCCAGUGGUGCAACCGCUACUAAAGGUUCGUUUGUUC
rnacentral:rRNA from 1 species